UUGGAGGGCAAGUCUGGUGCCUGCAGCCGCGGUAAUUCCAGCUCCAAUAGCGUAUAUUAAAGUUGUUGUGGUUAAAAAGCUCGUAGUUGAACCUUGGGCCUGGCCGUCCGGUCCGCCUCACCGCGUGUACUGGCUCGGCCGGGCCUUUCCCUCUGUGGAACCCCAUGCCCUUCACUGGGCGUGGCGGGGAAACAGGACUUUUACUGUGAAAAAAUUAGAGUGCUCCAGGCAGGCCUAUGCUCGAAUACAUUAGCAUGGAAUAAUAGAAUAGGA
rnacentral:rRNA from 1 species